GGCCAAGAGGGCCCCCAAGAGAAAGGAGAGGAGGAGAAGAGCAAAAGCCUGGGUCUGGAGCUGCCCACCAGGAAGCCAGUCCACCAGAGGCUGAUGGAAGAAACUGGAAGAAGAAAGAAAGAGGGAGCAUGCGAGACCAUUAACAGCAGACAAUGGGGAGAAGGAGGAAAUCUGGUCCACAGCUUGGCGAUAAUAUCCAGGUAGGACACCUGACUCCAAGGGCUAGCUAGUAAGGAGUUCAAAGAAGAAGGGGGCCACAUGGAUCCAAGAAGACUCCCAGGACGCUUCAUAGCUGCUAAAAUGAUCCUAAGCAAAUAUUUGGAGCUACACACUACAGGUGGGAAUAUGGA